AACUUUUUAAUUUUAGGGGAAGUUUUUCUUUAAUCAUUCUUUAGUCUCCAUUUUUUAUUUUUCAGAGAAGAACCAUUCUCCCAUUUUUCGCCGCCAUUUAUGCCCUAGAUAAUCUUUGAGCACAGUCAUUCUAGCUCAGCCAUGGCCGCCGUCGAGGUUCGCUCCGACAAGAAGAAGAAGAAGCAUUCAUCAGCUGAUACGCCCAAAGCAGUCGGUGACUUGGACUCGCAGCCGGCUUAGAAGGACACCGAUUUCAUGAUCAAGCUAUAGAGCUACAAUCCAACCAUCGGCACUUCUCAGUGGCCACUCCUUCUCAAGGACUACGAUCUUCUCAUAGUACGAACCAGACACUACACUCCUCAUCUCAAGCCACAGAGCUACACUCCCACCAUCGACACUACACUCUUCUCAAGGACUGAGUACAUAAGGAGAUUAGGAGUGUGCGAACUGGCAUUCUGGGUGAGAAAGAUAACAUGGUUACUAUGCAUGAUGUUAUGGAUGCUCAAUGGGCAUAUGAAGCGUAUUGUUGAUGUUGUUCACUUCACACUAAAGGUGGUAUCUUUUUCGUAUCAUUUUUUUGCAUAUGGACAGAGUUUCAAAUAAGGUGCGUUUUAGAAUCUCCUGUAAGAUCUUAAUAUACAAUAUGAUGAGAUUAUGAAAGGAGUUGUUUGUUGAAAAAUAUAAAGUAUUCUAUGCUAUGCUAUUGUAUAGAUAUAUGACUAAGUUGACUAUUAAUUACCCAUUAUGUUAUGAAUUAGCAAGAAUGAGAAACGAAAAUGCAGAAUUGUCUGGUAGAAUAUACAUCGACUGAUUAUUUCUUACAAGACAAAAUAAGCUUUAAAUUUAACAUGUAAGCUGAGAUUGCUUUAAUCUCUUACAUGAACAAUUCCCAAAGAACAAUGAAUGGGAGCAUUAAUUAGAACCACGAUUGCUUACCUAGUGAUGUUUCUUCCUUUUUUUUUUUUAUAAUUCUAGCCUAACCUUCUUUCAACUUUAGUUGUCACUGCUCGUUAGUUUUUAUACUCUAUAUUUCAGUAUGAAAUAAUUAAUGUUUAGUUUCAUUAUGCUAUUAUGAGUUGAUGUCUUUUUUUUUCUGUCCUAAGGAGGGGCUUAGCCAACAGAUGUUAAGACGCUGUAGGUUCAUGUUAUAUGUGCCUGGUUUAGGCCUGCAUUCUCUUUUGCAAGUGAUGAAAAGAUGGAACUUGCUCUUGGAAUAUUGAGUUUUACAUUUAAUUCUUUUGUCAAGCACAAAACCACAAGAAGAAGAAAAGGAGAAGCCUGUACGGCGGUAGGGGCUCGGGGGAUGGUGGUCGACCGCGACACGGGGGUCGGGGUCGGGGUUGGGCUGUACGGCAGCAGGGGGCUCGGGACUGGGCUCAACGGCAACGACUAGUGGCUCGGGGGCUGGGCUCGACGGCACAGGGGCUGGGCAUUUUCUCAGUCUAUUCCCUCUCAGUCAGUCAGGUAUGGAGAUUGCUUUUUAUUUUUUAUUUUAAUUUCUUUUCUAUUAUUUUCUUUCUUUCUUUUGUUUUGGUGAAAAGGGAUCUCUCAAUCUCACGGCCCUCCCUCUCUCACUCCAGUCUCACUCUCUCAAGUAUGGAGACUCUUUAUUUUUUAUUUUUUAUAAUUGCUAGAAGAUCAGUACACAUUUCCCUGAAAACUACAAAUAUUUACAAUAUGAAACAUCAUAUUAUAGCCAAAAAAAAUAGAAAAGGCUUAGAGACUUAAUGUACAACCCUUAUACAUGUGAUAGCUUGGAAAAGACCAUGAUUAAGAAUCAGUGGGAAAAGAAAAAGAAGUCUGACCAUAUGUAGGAAGAGGAAAAUGCCCUGUAUUUCAAAGUGUUGGCAAAUCUAUAAAAGUAGGAUCUUGAAAUGGUGAAGUGAAACAAAGGAGUGUGCUAUAGGAACCAGAAUAAUUAUAUAGUGGUAAAUGAUAGAAAACAAGAAGAUUGUUGUUUCGAUCUUAUGCCUCAAUAUCUGCCUUAUAUUCAUCUUUAGAUUACAUUGAAAACUGCAUUAACAUGAGCUUGUUGGACUGUUAAUUAAUUCAUAAUUACAAAUUAAUGAGAAGUUAUUUCAUUAAACCCAACGUUAGACAAAGUUUUGAAAUUACGAUUGACAUGAUUGUUCUUCUUUUGUUAUUACUUAAUGUGAAUAAGUUGAGAACAUUAUAAUCACCUCACUUGUUUAUGAUAACACCUGAAAUGAACAUGAACUUCUCUAAUGUGGGACUCAAAUCACUUCUUGUCUUGUAGUUGUAAUGAAGACUAAAAAAGGAAUACAUAAUACAUAUCAUCAAUUAGUGGAAUCAAUUUGCUUAAAAUUUGAGACAAUCAUUUCUUGUCCCUCUAUUAAAAUUUCUAUCCAACUCUACGAGUACACACAUAUAUAUAAUCUCCAUUCACUUUUGCCUUUUCACUUUGUUUGGUUUCAAUUUUCUAAUAAUACAUUGCCCCUUAAAAAAAAUAAUAAUUGUACAAUAUUAUUUCACAGAUCAAGGGUAGAUAUUUUUAGUCCCAAUUUCUCAAAAAUAAAAAUGAAAAACAAGGAUAGAACUCAUUGAACUCAUUUCAGAAACAAGCAUAUAAAAAGGAAAUUUUUGCUGGCAGACGCUGUAGAACUCAUUUCAAUUUUCAAUUUUCUAAUAAUACAUUGAACUCAUUUCAGAAACAGAAUAUGCAAUACUUGGGAGUGUGGUUGGUUACUUUUGUGUUAAGCUUAUUAUUAGCCAUGCUUUGCUUCAAGAAUUCCUAAAAAAAUCUUAACAAUGUGGGUUUAAGUUGAAUCUUAGUUUGCCCUCAUAAAAUUUUGCUUAUUUUUGAUCAUCAAGGCAUUGUACCUUUGUACCUUUAACCAUAUUUUUUACUCAUGCAAAUAAUGUACCUUUGCAUGCAAUUUGGAACAAUUUGUGUUGUAUCUGUUUAGAUGAAGAUUGGAGUGAUGUUUUGUAGUUUUUUCAAAUGGUAUUUAGCAUUUUAACAGGACAAGCAAAAUAGGCAACGCUUCAUUGAAUAGUUGCCAAGUUUUGAACCAAAAUAGACAAAGCUUCACUGAUUAGUUACCAUAUCAUCUCAUCAUCUCAUCAACAGUGAGAAGUUGUGAACCAAAAUAGACAAUGCUUCACUAAUUAGUUACCAUUGCAUCUCUUCAAGAGUGCUGUUAGUAUUUGAUAGGUUCUUUUAAAACUAACAGUUUGUUUUGAAAAGAAACACAACAAUUACUCUUAAAUAGCCAUUUAUUAUAGGUAAGAAAGAUAAGAUACAAUUCUGAAACAUGUUUUGCUGAAACAUGCUAAAUGGUAUCUAAAAGCUACCGAUGCUUGAUAAAUGUUUUUACUCAAUUUUAAUUAUAGUUGUUGGGUUAGUACCUCUUCUUUGUUCUUUCAUUUUUGUGUGCCCAUGCUUUGAGUGGAAGCCAUCGUCAAAAGAAAUAAACUUAAAAAAUACAAGCCACAAACUAAUAAAAUUGGAUUUGUACAUAUUAUGCUUUAAUUAAAAAUUUUGAUUAGUCUAUUGUGUAAAUGUAAAAAGAGUGAAUAAAUUUGUUUGUUUUGUUUUUCAAUUCCAAACUUGUUUUAUGUUUUUGAUGUGGAUGUCUGUGUAAGCAUUGAAGACUUGGGUCCUAUAAUGUUUUGGUAUAUAUUGACUUUUUUAUUUUGUUUUAAUAUACCUUGAAUGAAAUAAAGUAUUAGAGAGAUAAAAUUAGUUUAUUGAAGCUAUUGAGUAUGGAAAAAUAUUAAAAGAACAAGAGAGUAAACUUAUGACUUGGACUGACACAUUGGUAGCAAGAGAGUUGUGUAACAAUUGUGAGUAAACUUAUUUAUUUACAUUACAAUAAAAAUCUAGUUAUAAUUUUUUCAUGUUUGGUGUAUUAUAAUGUGAUUUUUUAUGUUCCAGGGAUGAUUUUAAAAAUAAAUUCAUAACAGCUAAUUCUUACUUUGAAAAGACUAUUGGUGAUGAGGGUGAGUAUAAGGACAAGAAGAAGAAAGAUAUGUUGUUUGACAAUGAAUCUAGUGUUUUAUUUUAUUUGUAAUUUUUAUUAGUGUAAAUGAUUCUUUUUUGAGUGUUUAAUUAUAUUUUGUAAAUUUAGUUAUAUAUUUUUUAAGGUGAAGAUGAUUAUGUUUAUAAAUAAGGUUAUAUGAUUUUUGAGUCGUGUAGUAG